AUUGAACGCUGGCGGCGUGCUUAACACAUGCAAGUCGUGCGGUAACAGGCGUAGCAAUACGUGCUGACGAGCGGCGAACGGGUGCGUAAUACAUGGGAAUCUGCCCUUUAGUGGGGAAUAACCCGGCGAAAGCCGGGCUAAUGCCGCAUAAGAUCUUCGGAUGAAAGCGGGGGAUCGUAAGACCUCGCGCUGAUGGAUGAGCCCAUGUCGGAUUAGCUAGUGGUGAGGUAACGGCUCACCAAGGCGACGAUCCGUAGCUGGUCUGAGAGGACGGCCAGCCACACUGGGACUGGAGACACGGCCCAGACUCCUACGGGAGGCAGCAGUGGGAAUAUUGGACAAUGGGGAAACCCUGAUCCAGCGACGCCGCGUGUGUGAGGAAGGCCUGCGGGUUGUAAAGCACUUUCGGU
rnacentral:rRNA from 1 species